GGACACUUGGUCUUUUCAACUUUACUAGGAGGGCUCCUUUCUUCCCAGUCCGUAAGGAGGGGUCUGACUUUCAUUUCCACCCCAGCAUUAUCACCUUAACUCUCAUUCCAGUCAAUCCCGAAACUCCGUUGCCCUACCCACUUCACCCUUCUUUUGUUUGUCCUGAUUUGAUUCCUGCGUUCUCACAGAGGGCUACCUGGACUUUGAACCUCCACCCCCCUUUCUACAUUCUUGCAUUCCAGAAACAUAUGAAGCUCAUUUCUGCCACCCUUCCUAGAAAACUGGUUCCUGACAGAGACAUGUGGAAAGGUUACUACAUGAAGAGCUGGGACUGGAAUACAGGUUUUCUAUGUUCACCUGGGGAUAGCUUUUCCAUCAUCCCUCCUGAGUCUGUGAGGUAUCCCAGUUUUUAAGCCAGAACUUUGAAACCAGAAGUAAAUGGUUAAGUUUAUCUGUCUAUGCCUAUGUGUAUUCUAGCCAAAUAAAC
rnacentral:lncRNA from 10 species